GAUGAACGCUGGCGGCGUGCCUAAUACAUGCAAGUCGAGCGAACAGACGAGGAUCUUGCUCCUCUGACGUUAGCGGCGGACGUGUGAGUAACACGUGGAUAACCUACCUAUAAGACUGGGAUAACUUCGAGAAACCGGAGCUAAUACCGGAUAAUAUAUUGAACCGCAUGGUUCAAUAGUGAAAGACGGUUUUGCUGUCACUUAUAGAUGGAUCCGCGCCGCAUUAGCUAGUUGGUAAGGUAACGGCUUACCAAGGCAACGAUGCGUAGCCGACCUGAGAGGGUGAUCGGCCACACUGGAACUGAGACACGGUCCAGACUCCUACGGGAGGCAGCAGUGGGGAAUCUUGCGCAAUGGGCGAAAGCCUGACGGAGCAACGCCGCGUGAGUGAUGAAGGUCUUCGGAUCGUAAAACUCUGUUAUUAGGGAAGAACAAAUGUGUAAGUAAAUAUGCACGUAUUGACGGUACCUAAACAGAAAGCCACGGCUAACUACGUG
rnacentral:rRNA from 1 species